GCGCACCAGUCGCGAAACCUCCGCAAUACGCGAAAGCGUGACGGGGUCAUCCCGAGUGCCGUCCGCUGAGGAUGGCUUUUCCCCAGUGUAGACAGCUGGGGGAAUAAGGAGAGGGCAAGUCGGGUGUCAGCCGCCGCGGUAAUACCCGCUCUCCGAGUGGUGGGGACGCUUAUUGGGCCUAAAGCAUCCGUAGCUGGCUGAGCAAGUUCUCCGUUAAAUCCAGCGAUUUAAUCGUUGGACUGCGGAGGAUACUGUUCGGCUAGGGGGCGGGAGAGGCCGACGGUAUUCUCGGGGUAGGGGUGAAAUCCUAUAAUCCCGGGAAGACCACCAGUGGCGAAGGCUGUCGGCUAGAACGCGCCCGACGGUGAGGGAUGAAAGCUGGGGGAGCGAACCGGAUUAGAUACCCGGGUAGUCC
rnacentral:rRNA from 1 species